GGAGCCCAGGCUGGUCCCAGGUCGGGGUGCAGCCACCGAGGUGUGACGGACCCUCUAGACCUCGUCACACACGCUGUGUGCGGUUUACCUGCACCAGCACCCAGUAACGUGAGUAGCAAAGGUUUCAUCGUUUCCAUUUGCAGUUGGGGAAACUGAGGCUCAGAGAGAGGCAGUGACUUCUCAGAGGUCACACGGCGCUCCAUGGUGGAGCUGGGACUCCACACCCCACAUCUCUGCUGAGUCCACAGGCCUGAGUGGCAGUGUGUGUGGGCAGGAACUGGGGGGAGGGGGCACAGAGGUGUGUAACCAAGACAAUGAGCUUGGGCGCUCCUGUCCCCCCCCCACACACACGCACACCCCCGUCACUGCAUGGGCGGAAAGACCCCACCUCUCCUGUCCCCUGUUCUCGGCCCUGGUGCAGCCCAGUCCGGGGCAGACCUCUCCCUCCACACUGCCACUGUCGCCGGCACCAGAGGGGACUGGUAAGAGUGGAGAGGAAGAGGUGACCAGUACCAGUGCCUGGGGCCCCCACUCGCAGCAGGAGGUAUUGAGGUGUGACCUGUAGCUGGGGUGAGGGCGGCCCUGACUGAGAAAUCUAAGGACGGAAGACACUGGGUAAACGUGGAUAACGGCCUAAAUGAGAGAUGUUUCCCAGCGAUAACCCUGGGAUCCCAGUGACAGGAGAUGGGCCGUUGGGAGCCGGAGCGCCAUCCCAAGUGAAAUCACCGGGUGCGAGCCACGCAGCUCCGGCCCCUCCGAGACCCCGAGGGGGUCUGGGCGCCUUGCACGUGUACCCCGCCCUCGCCGAGCUCGCCUCACUCCCGCAUUUCCCACCAGCCCGGCGACCUCUCCCGCUGGCACUACCUUCAAGAGGUUAGGAGGCCGGUGCAGUGCCAGGCGGGCUGGUAGCCCAGCUCUGCCACGUGCCCGCCUGGGACCCUGAGCACAGGCCUGGGCCUUAGUUUCUUCAGCUGUAAAGUGGGAAGGAAGAUGGGCUGGUGCCCAUUCGGGGGCGUCGCGGGAUGGAAGCUAGCUCCCGGCAGGUGACCCUUCAACUUUGUUAUUCGCAGGGCUACCCCCGCCUUGCGCGGCUGGGCAAGGAGGGCGGCCCCUUACUCCCCUGCUGCGACUUGGCCACUCUCUGAGGAAUGGCCCUGGGGAACUUUCCAGACAGAUGUCUGAGACUUUCCAGAGCUUCCUGGGACACCUGCCCAGUCCAGGAGCCGCUCACUGUGGGGCUCUGCAUCCCCCAAGUGGGGGGAGGGGCCUGAGAAGUGGGGGCCUGGAGGGGAGCUCCCCGCAUCCGCCCCGCUGGCAGAAGCCUCUCCCCUGCCCUCGAUGACCCACUUGGGGAAAAGCCAGUGCAGCGAGUGCUCACGCCCUGGGACACCGGGUUCCAGGGGGCGCUCCUCCACUGGCCGGCUUUCUGGGAGGGAGGGCCCACGUGGGGUAACUUGAGGCACCGCAGCUCUCACGAUCUGGGCUCCGCGGGGCCUGGGAGAUGCGCUGAGUGUGGCGUGGCCGUGAGCACAGGCUCUGCCCCAUCCGGUCCCCCGUCCCUUGGCAGCAGAGCCAAAGGGGAUGGCUGUGUCUGAUGAGCUGCUGUGUGCCGGGCGCCACGGAGGACGUGGGGAUGGGUACCGGUCGUGGGAUGCGGAAGGUGCUCUCCAAUUGUCCAGGUAUUUGUCCAAUGGUCCUGCCGCCCUCUGGCUUUCUGAGGGUCCCAGCCCACCGGCAACUGCAGGGGCUCCCGGCUCUGGAGCCCCAGGGCCCCUCUUCCCCCCAGGCCCCAGCUCACUGGGCUGUCGUCAGGGUAUGGGGCCCCACCACGCUCGUGUGGUGUCACCUGUUUGUGCAAGACCCAGGCACACCCGUGUCUGAGCAAGAUCUGGAAGGCUGCCAGCCCGGGCCUGGGAACCGGGCUGAGAAGCCUGGGGGUGCGGGCGGAGCCGCCCCCGGCCCAGCGCCUCUGGGAGAAGCUGCAUGGUGGGUGCAAGGGAGAGCUCUUUAGGGUCACCCUUGCCCUCAGGCUGGGCCCAGCGGCUUCCUGAGCCCCCAGCUCAGGGGCCAGACGGACAGAUUGAAGGCAGUCCUUAUGGGGGCAGUUAGAGAGGGGCCAAGGUGGUGGGGGACCUGGAGCGGGGAGGCUCCUCACGCCCAGCAGGGCCGGGGGCGGGGCAGGGGCGGGAGGCCUCAGGCCAGCCCAGGCCCAAGGUCAUGCCCUUGUCGCCCCACCGGACUGCUUCCGGUGCUUCCGGUUCAGGCUGUGGGUCCAAACACCUGAUUUCAGCCCCAGCGGGGCCUCUGGUAAGGCACUGACACUGGCCUCAGAGAGCCACACCCACCAGGCCCGGGCCUGCCCUGCCCAUACCACACCUGCGCACAGCAGGGUGCUCCCACCCACCCAGGCUCCCCAGGAUGGGCCUGGCUCAUAAGAGGCAGCAGGUCCCGUGCUACCAGCAGAUCAGGGGCUGCAAUGAACGGGGCCAAGGGGCCAGCACACCGCAGAGGCCCCUGUGAAGAACGGAUGAGGGGCACCGGGAGAGCAGGUCUCAACAGGAAGGAAUGGCUUACGCUGCAGCAGGACAGCUUCAGGUUAGACACCAGGCAGCACUUCCUGACAAUGGGAGGUCUCUAGAGGAGUGGAGGCCCAGCCUCCCCAGGUCUGCCUGGUGGCCACUCAGAGCGGCUGGGGUCAGAGUCCUGCUGGCAGCUGACAGCCGAACGCCGACCAGGGCAGGGCCGCAGCUGGGCCUUGGUGUCCUCCCCACGGGGGAGCGCGGCCACGCGUGAGAGCUGCCGACUGCCCUGCCCCCACCCCGUGUCCCCAACCUCCCCAAACGCAGCCCAGGUACCCUCCCAGCCCUCCACGGCCCUCCUCUACCCACACACACGCACGCACACUCUCACACGCACCCCCUUGCUGGACUGCUCCCUCUUCUAGGAACAAACCCCACCCUCAAGUGCUCCAAGGGCCCAGCUGGUGCACGAUGGGCUCUCCCCCCUCUGAAGCCCGCGUCCCAGGAAGCACAGGUAUGCCUGCGACCCUCACCUGCAGAGCUCUGUUCCCGAGUCCUCCAGGUCCUGGGGGGACAGGCAGGCCCCAGCCGCCCGCAGCAGCCCAAUGACACCCUGAUGCCUGCCGUGAGAAACAGCGUGGUGACCGCCUGCCCGCCGCAGCCUCUGCGAGACGCCAGCAGGGCCUUGGCCUGUGCCCAAGACCAGGAACCCACCCUCCCCAGACUAGGGCCACCCCACCUCGGUCCCCAGCACCCAGACCCACGCCGGGGGGGCGGUCAGUCAGCCCCGGCUGUGCAGCACCUCCGUCCGCAGCACCCCCGCCAGAGGCCCCGAGGCCCCGCUCUGGGCACCUUCGGACAGCCCACCCUGGAGGAGUCUCCCUGCCGAGCUCACACCCGCCAGGGCCGAGUCUGGGAAAACGGAAUCCCUUGGGCCGGUAGUCUGCCCUUGGGGAUGGGGUGGGCAUGAGACUGACGGAAGAACGUGGGCGUCAGGCUGGCCCGGAGCAGGGCCCAGAGGCCUGUGGGUGUCAAGGCACCGGCUCCGAGCCCAGGAACAGAGCACAGAGCCCCGAGGCUGCCCCCUUCCCCAGUCUGGGGGUGUACCAUCAACUCAUGGUCACCCCACUUUUAGGGAGCUGGGGAGGAGAGUGGGCCACCCCCCACCCCCCCGGAGCCCUCCAGGGUGAGGCCAGCCCCUCCAGGGCAGAGCAGGGCCCGCUGGGGGGUGAGCCGGGAGACCGGUUCGGGAGACGGAGGGAGCUGCCGUGACAGCCAGCUGGGGACGAGCAGGUGGGACCAGGACGGGGUGAGCUCACCACGCUGCCACCCACACCCAAGUGUGAGCCGCAGAGUCUCCAGCCAGAUCACCCGGCCUGGGCGCCACGGGCACACCCCACGUGCAGCCCUCCCCCUCGGUCCCCCACCUGUUCUGAGAACCCUUUGAUGCUCCCAGGAGGCUGGGAGGGAGGGGCUACCCCGCUGCCCACUGUCCCAAGGGUGAGGCGCCCUGGCCCAGGGCUGAGCCGAGCGCUCUGGUGGCCUGGGCUCUCCAUAAGACUCAUGAGACCCCCAGAAAUGACCCAGGGUCCUGCAGGCCGAGAGCCCCUGGGGAGGGCCCGGGGCCUGUGGCAGACGCUAAACCGAGACCAGCUCUGCAUUCGGAAACGCAAGACUACGAGCGAUGGAAAGCAAGGCCUGUGAUCCCCGUGUCCCAGACACACCCUCACACCCGUGCUCCCCAGUGCGCUCACACACACACUCUCACACACACACGUAUGUGAUGGCCCUCCCAGCUGCCGGGCAGGGGACGGGGAAACAGGUGGGAGAGUGGGCCCGCCCCUGCCCCUAGGUCUUCCCAGAAAGUUCCAGGCCUCGGAGCAACGUAAGCCCCUAGAAUGCAGGGCCAAGUGGCUACCAGGCCCCACCCGUGCCCAUCUGCCGUCAGAGCAGGAGAGGCCUGCCCCUCGGAGAGAUGCCAGGCGGGCCGGGGAGGACAAGGAGACGGCCGCCCCAGCAGAGGACACGGGUACAGGUGUUCACCAGCCCCGAUGCCUGCUCCUCCGGCCUCGGCUGGCUGGCUGCCCGCCCGCCAGGCCCAACCCCAAGGGAAGGGGUCAGAGCCUGUGACCCCGGCUCCUGGGUGGUGACCACCAGCUCGUGUGUUUUCCUUCACGUCGAUCCUCACACAACCCGCCCUGCAAGGUGCCGCCGCCCCAGCCUGCAGUGCGCGUCACAGGUGAGCACACAGGGCGGCCCCUCCAGGGGGCCCCAGCCUCUGGCCUUGGCUUCAGGGCAGGGGGCCUCUGCUGCUCCUUAGAAGGAACCAGACGUCAGGUGCCCACAAUGACUACCCAGGGCCCUCGGGCCUCAGCAAGAGCUCAGCUCUGCAACUCUCCACUUGGGCGGGGGCCCCCAAAAAAACCCAGGCUGGGGCCCUGCCCUAAAGAGCCAGGGUUUGUUGGAUGGGGCCAGCUUGGGGGACCCCCCCACUAGCAUGCAUGCUGAGCCUGGCCCCUUGGGGACCUGUGCUCACCCAGCCCAACGUCUGGUACUAUGUCACCUGCUCUGUACCUGCUCCAUCCCAGUGCUGGGUUGGGGGUUUCUCCCCUUGCCCCACCCCCAGCCCCUCAGGUGGAGGACGGAGGGAACACACAUGAGACCCCUGUGCUCUGUAAGCGUUUUCCUUUUCUAGAAAUUCCGUGCCAGGGUCUUGCCGGGCCUGCCUGGCUCAGCUUGGUGGUCACCUCCAGGAAGCCCUCCCUGACCACCCUGCCCAGAGUCAGUCCUCCCAGUCUGUAGGGUCCAGCUGGAGGUGGGCGAGGCUCCGGGAAGCAGGCGUCCUUGGUCCCACCUGGCUGUGCCUGGGGGUGCUGUGUGACCACAGGCACACCGAAGGCCCCCUCUGAGGCAUUCCUGUCCAGGCCCUGCCCACACAUCCGCCACAGUGCCCACCCCCCCCAGCCCAGUACCUGCCCCUCACGGCCAGCAGCAGCGGGCUGAGGCCAUCCUUGUCCCGUGCGUUCACGUCCAGCCCUCUCUGCAGCAGCAUGGUGACCACCCCAGCCUGGCCCCCUCGGGCGGCCGAGUGCAGCGGAGUUUGACCACCAAAGUCCUCCAGGCUCAGGUCACUGCCCUGGGGCGGUGCAAGGGAUCACCAGCCACUGAGGGGAGGCCGGACAGGGCCAGGUAGGCCACAGGGAAGGGACAGGGUCGGGGUGCACCCAGGGGGGCCUGACACAGCCACGUGCCCCCCUCGGCUGCGGGGAGGUGAGCAAGCCCCGGGACAGGCAGUCCUGCCCACAUCUGGGCAGCGCCCCACCCCCCGGGGCCUGGUGCAGCUGGAGCUGGUCCCCGAGGGCGGGCAGGGUCUCACCAGCUCCGCAAGCACCUGCAGGGCCUCCAGGUCGCCGGCGUGGGCCGCGGCGCAGGCCAGGCUGGGUACCAGGGCAUCUCGCACGUCCUCAGCCUCCUGGCGUGAGGGGCGCCGCAGCACCUUGGGACCCCUGCCACUUCCUGGGGUCCUCACCACCCCCAGGAGUGGGCAGGGCCAGGAGCAGGGGAACAGGUGGGCAGAGGUGGGGCGCAGGGCCCGUGGGAACCCUGCUGGCCCACACACCGCGCCGGCAGUGAGUCCCAGGAUGGGGUCCAGCGCCCCCUCAAGUCUCGACAUGGUAAAAGGAAGGGGCUAGGCACCACAUCCGAGGCCUACUCGGGACCCCCAGCCCUGGGAGCAAAGUCCAGGCAGGACACAGGCCACCACCUGGCUCUGUCCCAUCAGCUGUGUGACCGGGGCCUGCCACCCGCCCGCUGAGACACACGUCCUCGCCUGCCUCUCCUGCGGGCCAGGAGGCAGGGGUAACUCAUAGGGCACCUGCCUGGGGGAGGGUGGGAAGGGGUGCCUGGCCCUCCCCAGCAGGAAGGGACACUUGGACCCCGUGCUGGGGUCGCCUAACAGCUCCCCAAGGCUCCAGACGGCUGGGGGUCCCAUCAGAGGCCCCCGUAGGCAUCCCCGCGCCAGGCACCAUGGCGGGGCCUGAGAUCUGGAGUCAUUAAGGCCCGAGGCAUCCACUGUGACGACAGGCCGCACACGUCUGGCUGCUGCCCAUCCCUGGCAAACAGGUUAAGUUCCUGCCACUCUCCACUCUCCCACCCUCACUCUGCAGAGGGGAAACUGAGGCACGUGGUGUGACCCGGGUCAGCAACGGGACACAGUGCCCGUCUCCUGCCAGGCGCACCAGGUCUGGACACUUCUCCCAGAGGCCAGUGCUGGGGGUGGUGGUAAGGUGGGACACCAGGAGGCCCCAGUCACCCCCGUGAGCCUGGCCCAGCUUAAAUCUCAGAUCCCAGGCCCUAAAGCAAGUCCUCGGUCCCUUCCUGGGCCUGGGCACCCUGGCUGAGAAGGGGAAGGAGCUCCAAGCCUGGCCCCUCUUCCCAGGGAGACCCCAGAGCAGACACCUCUCUCCCGCCAGCAGCAGGACGGACGGAGCGCCCAUGCUGCCUGAGAGCGCCCCCCUCACGAAGCGGCCCUGCACCAGGGCCAGCAGGCCCCGCCCGGCUGCCCACCGGGUGAGCGGCCACGUUCUGAGCACCGUGUGCACGCUGCAAGGGCCCCUCUCGACUGCCCGGCCCCUUCCCACACGCUGGCCCACGAGUCCCUGCAAACCCUCCCCACUGUGGCCCCGAGCCCAGAACCAGUUCGUGCCUGGUGGUUUUCUGCUCCUGGCACCAAAAUGCCAGGGGGCGGGAGCCCAUCCCUCAGGGACCCACCGCCCAGACCCCCUCGCCCACGCUGGACAGUACCUGGCUCAGACUAAGGAGCUGGGCGACCCCGCGGCCCGGCGUGCUGCCCCGCAGAGAGGGCCGGAGCUCGUCCGUGGCGGGCAGCGUCAUCUCCCCGCGCAGGUCCCUGGCCAGCAGCUGCCGGGGGGGGGGCGCACGGAGACCCGGGCCAGCUCCAUCAGGGCCCGGGCCCAGCAGCCCAGACAGACCUCGCAGGCCAGGCACCCCAGACCCCGGGAGAGGGCUGCCCAGGGCCUGAAGCUCCUCCCUCGGGCUCCAUGCCUGAGGACGGAGCCUAACCCCAGGCAGAUCCCCACACCAGGCCAGCCCCACCCUCCAGCCCUCCAGCUCAGGGUCUCCCCGGGCCCCUGUGGCCUCUGCCCAGCCCCAGGGCCCAGGGACAGCCGUGUCUGAGGCCAGCCUGAAAAGCAAGAGGGAGGGGAUACCCUGGGACAGUUUGGGGAUCCUUAGCCCAAGCCAGACCUGGGGCUCCUCGAGGGGAGGACAGGCAGUGCCCGGGCUUGGGGCUGGCAACCGAUCGGGGGAGCCCCCCGUCCUCGCCCCCCUUCCAGACCCAGGCACAUAUCCCCCGGACUGGGCCCCACCGCCCACCAGUGCAGGCCCGGGUCCCCAGCCGGAGGGGCACGCACCUCCUUCCUGCCAUCCAGGCUCAGCCCCGGCAGGCCAAGCACAUACGACAGCUUGGCCAGGGCCGCCUCCGAUGUCAUGUCGGAGCCUGAGAUGGUGCCGGCUCCCGCCAGGGCCUGCAGGAACGGAGGCACCGGCGGACGAUGGGGCACGGGGUCAAGCCGGACUUGCCCCUGCCCUCCCUCCCAAGGCCUCGGUGUCCCCGCCCCACCGUGCCAGCACCAUAGUCCGAGGUGACGGCGCCCUGAAGGCAGUGGGUGCAGUUGACGAUGACUAGGCCUCGCUCAGCUGCCUCCCGCAGCUCCUGGAGCAGGUCGGGCUUGGUGGGCCCGUUUCCCGAUCCGAAGGUUUCCAUGACCACGCCCUUUAGGGGGGGCUGCAGGAAGACCCGAACCUGCGGGGGCCGGGAGGCGAGGGUGAGGGGCCUGGCUUCCUGCUCCAGCAAUGGGGACCAACAGGCUGGCCCUGCACCCUCGGUGCCCGCCACGCUCCCCAACACAUCCCCCCAAAGGGAACCUUGUCCCCUUCUAAGUGUUAAGGCCACAAACACCGUGGAAAUGGGUCAGAGGUCACAAGGAGCCAGCUGGAGAUGAGAAAGGCCAUCAGAGGUCUCACGGAGCGAAGGGCCCCCAUCCCAGCUGGGCCACCACACCGCCCCUCCCGGCCCCUGGCCCCUCCAUCCGGUCCAAAGCUCUGCCCCAUCUGACACACAACAGGUGAUGCUCCCAGCAAGCCAGUGUGUGGGGAAAGGGCCCUGCAGCUAAACACACACACAUGCAGCGUUCUGCUUAAGCCAGGGUGCUGUCCGCACAUCCCACGAGGCUGCAAGGCUCCACUCGGAAGACAGAGGACGGGGGCUUCCCUGGUGGCGCAGUGGUUAAGAGUUCACCUGCCAGUGCAGGGAACACAGGUUCGAGCCCCGGUCCGGGAAGAUCCAACAUGCCGUGGAGCAACUAAGCCCGUGAGCCACAACUACUGAGCCCACAGUGCCACAACUACUGAAGCCCGCGCUCCUAGAACCCAUGCUCUGCAACAAGAGAAGCCACCGCAAUGAGAAGCCCACACACCGCAACGAAGAGCAGCCCCCGCUCGCCACAACUAGAGAAAGCCCUCGCGCAGCAACGAAGACCCAACACAGGCAAAAAUAAAUUAAUUUUUUUUUAAAAAAAAAGAAGAAGAGGACGGGGCCUGGGGUUUACCUCAAACAAGGAUGGUCCCCUCAGAGGCCACCCUGCGGGGACACCUGUUGCCCAGCUCAGCCGUGCCCUGUGUCAGCACAGAGGCCCCAGGGCUGAGCACUGUCUGUCCCUGAACCUGCUACACAGGGGGAGCCCAGAGGCCAAGCUGCUGGCCUGUGCAGCAGGCAUCCAGCCCUCUGGCUGCGCCCCCCUCAGAGCCUUUCAGAACUGCCAUUGGCUCCCUCUGCCUCUCCAGGUAGAGGCCAAAGGUGAAAGCAGACCUGUUGCUGGCAGAUACCCGGGAACGGGGAGACUGGAGACCAGGACCCGCUGCCGCUGGAGCCUAGGUCACCAGCAGCAGGCCCUGCCCCGACGGCCCGGAAGUCCCCGUCGAGCGAAGCCCUGGGGGUCCCGUCCCCCCGCCUGAGCUCAGCGCAGCGUAUGGCUCUGCACUCCCCCAGCUACGGCACGUUCUAGAAAGACUUCACAGGCCGGCAUGCUUUCCCAGAAGGAGGCUGUGCAGCUAAGCCCCACUUAGGAUGGCAGCCUCGUGCAGUGGCCUCUGGCUACUACACGACGUGAGACCCGUGCGUGGGAUCCGGCCACCAGCCCCCGGGACGACCCUCAUCUUCGAGGGCAGCCCUCACUGGAGCACGCCUCCAGCAAACCCCGUCUGUCCCCAGCGCCCUGGGAGGGGAGCAGCUCCAGUUCACAGACUGUGGCCCAGAGGUUAAAGGCAGCCCGAUGCCGGGCCACCCCAGCUACAGCGACACACCUGGGAAGCCACGUGUGUUGGGUGGAAGAGGGGGCCGCAGUGCCCCGCCGGUCACAGCACUGAAGCAAGCGUGUUCUGAGUCCCUGCAGCCCCGCACUCAGUGCCAGAGACGCCCAGAGGCGCUUCUACCCGAGACCCCUCCAUCCAACUGGCAGCCCAGCGUCUGGGCCUGACUCACUGGGCAGGACGGAGGCAGGCGCCGUGUCCGCCCCAGGAACAGCUGGUGGCCAAGGGGUGGACGGCAGGGACCACCAGAGCGGCCACAAGAAAGAGCAGUCCAGGGCCACACCCCCUCAGCCUCAGAGGAGCCCUCGGAACCCGUGCUGUGACGUCCGCGGGGACAAGCCCAGGUCACGAAUAAGGUGAACGGGCUGAGAAGGCAGCGGAGGGGGUGCAGGUCCCAGUGACACGACAGUGGGGAGGGGAGGGGGUAGGAGGCAGGCACCGCGGGGGCUGAGCCGGGGUCCCUACCAGGGCGGCGGGGAUCCCGGGGUAGAGGCGUAGCAGGCCCACGUCGCGCUCCAUGCUGCCGUGCACCACCAGCCGGCCCUGCCCGCGGACCUUCCGCACCAGCUCCCGGUUGACUGCGAGGACAGAGGGACCGAAUGCACACCUUCCGGCCACCUGCAGGCCACGGCCCCGGCCCAGCCUCCCCGGACCCCCCGGCCUCUGUCUGGUGCCUCCGGAGUCCCGUCCCCUGCCCCCUCUCCCAGCUCGCUCAGGCGAGGGGCGCAGCUCCAGCCUGAGCCAGCCCCCGUGGCGGGCGUGGGGUCCAGGGGGCGAAGAGGACCCUGCCCAGGCCACGCCAGGGCAGGAGAGGGGAAGGGCAGGUGGAGGAAGGGCCUUCCAGGCAGAGGGCAUGGCGCGUGCAACGGCGAGAAGCACAGCAGACGGGGCAGAGCUGGGGGAUCACCAGGAACCUGCAAUCCUGGGUCCCAGGAGCAGUCAGGGCGGCAUCCUCUGACCAGCCAGCCUCACGAGCCCCUUACUGGGCACCGACCCGGCCCACGGCCCAGCAAGUCAGUGGGUGAAUGAAUGAAUGAGCCUUCUGGAUCCCUAACCUUUGGGGAAAGGAAACCUCCAUCUCAUUCACCCCAAAGUCUCAGAGGCCUAACGUGAGCCCAGCCCGCUCUCCACGCCCAGGGCGGCUCCUGAGCCCCGUGGAGCGUGAAGGGGGCAGUUCCAUGGGGUCAGUGCCUGCUGUGCUGAGAACUCCCCAGACGAUCAGCCUCUCCGUGGGUCUAAAGGCUGCUGCUCUGCGGGGACCAAAGGCCUCCCAGGCCUUCUGCUCCAGCCAUGGGCAGGGGGCAGGCGUCUGGGCGGCAGGCCUGGCCGUCGACCCUCAGGAGCCCGGCGCUGAGCCCAGGGUCAGGGUCCCAUUCUCUCGGCCCCUCGCACAUGGCAGCCUCGAGCAGGCAGAGGCCCCAUUGUCCAGCCCAGGGAAACUGAGGCCCAGGGAGGGAAAGGGCCUUGCCCAAGGCUGCCCAGAGUCAGGUGCAGAGCCCGGAGGGGAAUGCGGGCUCCAGGGCCCCUGCCCAGGGCUCCUCACCAGCCCGGUCCCGUGGAGGGGGCGCAAGCCUGCGGGCCUCCUGCUGUUUCCACCAGAGCAGUUCUCAUACGAUAAUAAACUGAGGAACGUUCCAGA